rnacentral:rRNA from 1 species
GACGAACGCUGGCGGCGUGCUUAACACAUGCCAGUCGAACGGAAAGGCCCUGCUCUUGUGUGGUGCUCGAGUGGCGAACGGGUGUGUAACACGUGUGUAACCUCCCCUUGACUUUGGGAUAACUUCUGGUAACUGGGGCUAAUACCGGAUAGGAGCUCCUGCUGCAUGGUGGGGGUUGGAAAGUUUCGGCGGUUGGGGAUGGACUCGCGGCUUAUCAGCUUGUUGGUGUGGUAGGUGCUUACCAAGGCUUUGACGGGUAGCCGGCCUGAGAGGGUGACCGGCGACCAGGCGCAUGAGGUAGGGCCCAGACUCCAACGUUAGGCAGCAGUGGGCAAUAUUACACAGUACGCGGAAGCCUGUGGCGAAGACGCCGCGUGCGAGAUGACGUCCUUCGAGUUGUAAACCGCUUUCGACUAUAACGAAGCGUGAGUGACGGUAAUGGGUAAAAAAGCACCGGCUAACUACGUG